AGAAAUCUAAAUUUCUAUGAGAGGCAGUUUCAUUACAUUUUACCAAAAAACUUAUAAAAGGCAUGUAUGACGAAUUGUGACCCUUUUUUUUUUCACUUUUGAUUUUGAUUUUGAUUGUACGUCCGCUCUCUUCUCACGUUAACGUGGUGAAACAUGGCCUACGUCUGGCAUUUCACGUCACGGAGACACGUGACGUUGGUGCUUGUUGAAAUCCUCAGUACAUUACCUUCUAUCUCGACGAAUUUUCGCGAUUAUAUAUUAGUGCAGCAUCUGAAAUGAUCUCGCGAUGGUCACGAACGGAGUUCUACCUUCAGUUUUAGUGCUUGGUGUCCUAUUUCUGAUGAUCCUCACGGGGGAUGCUACCCUAAAAAAUGAACCCCCGCAUGAAGCGACGAGCUCAUCGGAGGGAUGGCCGCUCGGGCUUGGAGCUGUCUCAAACUCGUGGUCUCAAACAUCAAGCCCGGUGCCUCGAACCUCAAGCCCAGUGUCUCGAACCUCGAUCCCGGUGCCUCGAACCUCAAAACAGGGUUCUCGUGCGGAGUCGCAUAAAAAUCCUGGCUGCUUCGGUUUUGUGUCCCCUCAAAGAAGAACCUCCGGUGAUCAGAAAAAAACCCAAGGCUACUUAAAGAGCCAAAAAAGUGGAUGGGGCUCCAGGUUCGGCAGGAUUUUCAGUAAGAAGCCCAAGGGCGUUUACAGUAACGGGAUGCUUUUGAACCCGGACAAACCGGAAGAUAUGCCUUCUCACCGCGCAAAUAACGGGCUCCUUUUCAGGGAAAAACCUUUUCUUCCCCCGACAUCAGGAUGAAAUUUCACCACAGUCACAAGAAAUUUCGGGAGAAAGUGAAUAAGUUUUUAGUUGAAAAAUAUAUUUUUUAUAUCGUUGUGCGGUUUAAUUAGCGGAAGUUACACUGAAAAAAGCUUGGCUUAGGUAUGAUGCUUCCUUGAAUUCGCCGCCGAGGAAUGUUUCUUUUAUCGUGACUGAAUUGUACAAUUAUAAUAUGAAAUCUCAAAAUCACUUUCUCGUCUUAGAGAAACAAAAAAAAAUCGUUUUUUUAUCUGGCAAUGCAAUUGUUAUGCUUUUUAUGUGUGUGACUCUUUUUUGUGUAUAUAAUGAAAAUUGAAUUAUAUAAAUGACGCUUUUGUUUUUUCGCUGUUUAGCCAAUGCUAAUUAUAGAAUUUUGACCCUUGUUUGUAGUGUGAUUCAUAUUCAUCGCGAAAUUUAAAAAAAAAACCAACAAACAUGUUAUGCAGUGCUUAAAUUCACACCUCAUCUAGAGGCCCAUUCUCCGAAAAUUGAAAGAGAAAAGUCAACAAGUGUGCUAGAAAAUGUAAGUUUCAUCAGAUGAACUUUGGCAACGGUUCAUGUUGCGUUUUUUAAUACCAAGGUAGUGUAGUUUUGUUGUUUUCGGAACAUAAAUACGUGUAAUAGCGACACUGACCUCUCUGUGCCUGCAUUCCUGUGCCUUCACACACUGGGGUCAGUCUUACAGAUCAAAUCCAUAGGCGAAAGCCACUCACAUGACUCUUCAUAUGUUUCCAAUAAUUACCGAUCACAGCUAGAUAUUUUGAAAAUACCUUCGCAGUAUUUGCAUAUUUCUUGCAAAAUUUGAUUGGAAAACAUUUAAAAAUAAUUUGAAAAGAUUUUUGAGCUACAGUUUUGAGAAAUAUUUGAAAAUAUUAAUAAUUGUAAUGUUUUAAUAAAAAUAUCUCUGCUCCAGUAUUUCCAAAAUAUUUUUAAAAUUAUCUUAAACCAUUUUGACAAAGAAAGAAAGGAGGAACCUGAAAAUAUUUCGAAUUAUUUAGCCAACAUCUUGCCAAAGAACGGACAUUCUAGGGAGACACGUGCAUACAUUUUGAAAAUUUUUUCACCACGUACGUAAGACGAAAUCCUAUUAGAGAUAUUAUGUACAUAUUAAAAAAAAAGUAUUUUCCUCGAAAAAUUACGGAGAGGAAAAGAGGGCAUGAUCCCGACUAGACCAGCACAUUUUUAAACAAAAAGUUUUACAUAUAAAAGAAUAAAGGCAGAUUUGGACCCAAAGAAUCCGGUGUGUAGUAUGUCUGUUUAACCGCGAAGGACCGUUGGGACACCCUGUAAUUUCUGCAUUCGAGUCACCAUAGACACUGCCCAACAAAUUGUCAAUUGUUUUUUUCAUACUUUUUAUUAUUUAUUCUUGGCAUUUUUACACUCAAUUUCUCACCUUUGACAAGUACUCUCCCCAUGUGUUUGCGUCGCAUGAAGUUCGUGUGUGUGCUCUUUCCGAACUCAUCGAAAAUUGUUGAUGCAGUUUUUGCACUCAGCUCUCAUAUUUACUUUAUUUCAAGUUCGUUGCGCGACCGAAUCGACAAAUAAUAUUUGCGAUGCACGCGUUUGAAUGGCCCUUGUCUUUGGUGAACUCUCAUUUGAACAACAUUUAUUAAAAACAUUUUGAAUGCGAUGUACACACCCCC
rnacentral:lncRNA from 1 species